UACGUAGGGGGCAAGCGUUAUCCGGAUUUACUGGGCGUAAAGGGCGCGUAGACGGCAAGACAAGCCAGAUGUGAAAGGCAGGGGCUCAACCCCUGGACUGCAUUUGGAACUGCCUGGCUAGAGUGUCGGAGAGGUAAGUGGAAUUCCUAGUGUAGCGGUGAAAUGCGUAGAUAUUAGGAGGAACACCAGUGGCGAAGGCGGCUUACUGGACGACAACUGACGUUGAGGCUCGAAAGCGUGGGGAGCAAACAGG
rnacentral:rRNA from 1 species